UACGGGGGGAGCAAGCGUUGUUCGGAAUUACUGGGCGUAAAGGGCGCGUAGGCGGCUCUGAUCGUCGGAUGUGAAAGGCCUGGGCUCAACCUGGGAAUGGCAUCCGAUACGGCGGGGCUGGAGUGUGGGGAGAGGUUGGUGGGAAAUUCCCCAGUGUAGAGGUGAAAUUCGUAGAGAUCCGGAGGAACACCAGCGGCGAAGGCGGCAUCCUGGACUGGUCCUGACACUCAGGAGCGAAAGCGUGGGGAGCGAUCCGGAUUAGAAAACCC
rnacentral:rRNA from 1 species